rnacentral:rRNA from 1 species
UACGUAGGGUGCAAGCGUUGUCCGGAAUUAUUGGGCGUAAAGAGCUCGUAGGUGGCCUGUCGCGUCGGCUGUGAAAACUCGGGGCUCAACCUCCGAGCUUGCAGUCGAUACGGGCAGGCUAGAGUUCGGCAGGGGAGACUGGAAUUCCUGGUGUAGCGGUGAAAUGCGCAGAUAUCAGGAGGAACACCGGUGGCGAAGGCGGGUCUCUGGGCCGAUACUGACACUGAGGAGCGAAAGCGUGGGGAGCGAACAGG